rnacentral:lncRNA from 1 species
AUCAUCGAAUCAGAUUAAAACCUAUUGAUUCAACUGGGUAAAUCAUAGAGCCCUUAGCCAAAGGGUUGACUCAGAUUUCUGGUUAAUUACAGCAGUGACCCGAGCUUACAAAGCUAAAUCUAGCCCCAAAACAUUUUAAACAUAUAAUCUCCUCUCAAUCCAAAGAAGUCGUUGCAGUCUACCACUGAAGAAACCCGAGAUUUGGAAGGAGGUAGAGAAGGGAGGCGAUCAAGGAGACGGCAGCCGCGAUCUCGUAGGGGGUGAAGGCGUCGGACGGGGCUGGGGCGCCGGACUUCUGGCGCCAACGCCUUGAGAGGAGGUAGAUAGAGGCGAAGAGGAGGACGGUGAAAACCCUGGUGGCGUAGCGUCCGGGGCCAGGAGCGCCGUCAGGGUCCGGGACCGGCGGCCGGCGAGGCUCGUGAAGGGCUCUUCCUCCGCCGCCGCAGCUAUUUUCCAUGGUGAGUUGAAGAGUUGACGAGCUGGAAGGGCUGGGGAGCGUUACACAUGUAUAUAGGCAGAGGAACCAUGGGCACCUGCAUUGGGUGAAUUGGCUAUUGGCUAUUGCCUAUUGGGAUGAAUGAUCUCAGCCUUGGUAUUUUAAUUACUAUUCUUUGAGGAAACGGAAGGCUAUCGCUUUG